UCCUGGCUCAGAUUGAACGCUGGCGGCAUGCCUUACACAUGCAAGUCGAACGGCAGCGGACCUUCGGGUGCCGGCGAGCGGCGAACGGGUGAGUAAUAUAUCGGAACGUACCUUUCAGUGGGGGAUAACGUAGCGAAAGUUACGCUAAUACCGCAUAUUCUGUGAGCAGGAAAGCAGGGGAUCGCAAGACCUUGCGCUGAUUGAGCGGCCGAUAUCAGAUUAGCUAGUUGGUGAGGUAAAGGCUCACCAAGGCGACGAUCUGUAGCGGGUCUGAGAGGAUGAUCCGCCACACUGGAACUGAGACACGGUCCAGACUCCUACGGGAGGCAGCAGUGGGGAAUUUUGGACAAUGGGCGCAAGCCUGAUCCAGCCAUGCCGCGUGAGUGAAGAAGGCCUUCGGGUUGUAAAGCUCUUUCGGCCGGGAAGAAAUCGCACAGGUUAAUACCCUGUGUGGAUGACGGUACCGGAAUAAGAAGCACCGGCUAACUACGUG
rnacentral:rRNA from 1 species